UAACGCGUAGGUAACCUGCCUGGUAGCGGGGGAUAACUAUUGGAAACGAUAGCUAAUACCGCAUGACAACAGUUAUUGCAUGAUAACUGUUUAAAGGGGGCAAUUGCUCCACUACCAGAUGGACCUGCGUUGUAUUAGCUAGUUGGUGAGGUAACGGCUCACCAAGGCGACGAUACAUAGCCGACCUGAGAGGGUGAUCGGCCACACUGGGACUGAGACACGGCCCAG
rnacentral:rRNA from 1 species